UUCGGCGGCAGCCCGGAGCGGUCCCCGAGCCGCCGUCUUUCCGCCGCCGCACUGCUGCAGAGUCAACACAUUCAACGGUGUCUCAUAUUUUCAAAGGUCCAAAACCGCAAGGCGUCUUCGAGAUGUUCGUCUUUGGUGUCUGGUGCUUUGUGGAGAAACAGUCAGCUUCCUAUAUUUGGGCGUGAUAGUGCCUUCUGUUACAAACAUUGGAGCAGCAGCAGCUGGUAACUGGAAGUCUCCACCAAGUGAAAUAGCUUGUGCUAGCAGCAUCAUCAGAGCAGCACCUGAGGGCCCUUGAGCUGCUGCUGCUGGAGUCUGAAGUGCAGCAAGAGAGCGACAUCCGUGAGAUGGAUAGAUGGCUCAACAACAGCAACAUCAGUUCCAGUGAGGAUGAGAUGCUUGAGUGGUAACGUUAGAUGAUGGCUGCUGAAAGGCAGUGUGAUGCCUCCCUUCUGGAGCAGGAGGUGGAGAUAUUUGAUUGGAUGGGAGAACUACCAGAAAGAGCGACUGAACUGCUCAAUCCUGGGACCUAGAAUGUAAAAGGUGACAUCAACACCGCCACGACAGGAGACGGCUGUGACACGUGCACCUAGAGCGGUGAUUGUAGGGGCGGGUGUCACACACACACACACACACACACACACACACACACACACACACACCCGAGCGGUCUUCACCGUCGUGCAACGAUCUCCCACCCCCGAGGCUGGCGAUGGUGAAGGGUCCAGGAUGCAGCGGCAUCAGCGUGUGCCCUCUCCACAGCCUAGAUGCUUCCUCAGCAGCUCACAACCACCACCUCUUCCUCCUCCCGCUGUUCAUCCACGCCAGCAGCAAAAGGUUGCUGACGCUUAUCGGGAGCUCAACACCGGCACUCAGCGGCAGCCGCCGAGUAACAGCACCACAUAACGUCAAAGCAGUAGAUGGACACGGCAACAACGCCUCAUUAAGCGAUAAUUGUGGCACCAUUGGAUUGAUUGGCUGAUUGCGUGGAAUGCGUAAAACAAAUAUGUAACUGAUACUGCUGCAGAAGUCUGGUCUAUGGCCGAGAAGACGACAGCCUGUGGCUGUUGCUGCUGUAAAACACUUCACACAGUGCCGGUGGUGGUUGCCCAUGAUAAAGGGCAAAUCGAUCUGGACUGCUGCUACUCCUCAGCUAACAGUCUUACCUGAAGCAAAAUAUAUGUACUGUUGCUGUGGCACAUCAGUGUAAUUAAUGAUGUCUGUAAUGUACAUAAAUCUGUGUCUGUAUAACUUGUAUAAAAAAAGUCGAUGAACUAAAACACAUCUACACUUCUCAGUGUCAAAAGAAUUGUUUCAUCUCCUAAUUUACAUAUAUGUGUGCUGGUAAAUAAAACAUCGCAGCGACCAGGUGAGGUGAUGAACUGUUGUAUAGUACUUGGAGAUGGAAGUCAUGCCUUAACAUCUCACUGCUUUCACAAGAAUGUCUUAUAUUUUCUGCUUAGACCUGUGGAUGAGCUAUCAUGAAGUGUUGAUGUUAACCACCUGUUGAUGUACUCAAUGGCUUUGCCGCUUGGGUAACACUGGUUCCAGCCCGAUUAUUGACAUUAAGCAACGUUGGGCUCAGCUAGUGCUUAGAUGGAUGACUUUACAGGGAAAAUAAGGUGCCGUUGGUUCUGAGGGCACGCAAGUAAUGUUCAGUUGAAAGAUAUACUCCAGGCUGUUGUGCCAUUAAAAGAAACCUCUGGAUAUGAUUUACAAUAACAUGAGUUAGUAUUACUUCAAAGUGUAGUAACAACAAUACUAUCCUGGAGGUUAAAAUGGCACUUUAUUAACGAUCUGGACAACUUCUGCCUAUAAUAUACAGUGACAAGUGGUUUUGUGCGUGGCUGUGUUGAAGUGUCAAAUUCAUUAAAGCAGCGGCAUUGUACAUGAAAGUGUCAUCCGUGGUCUAUAGUUCCGCUUGGGACUCCAUGCAGCUGACGUGUUAUGCAUCCAGGCCACCUUAGUAUGUAGAGUCCAAUAAGUCUGUGAUACGGGCACAAGAAGUGUAUCAAGAAUAGAUGAAUUCCUACAUCUGUCAACACCCUCUGACGUCUCUAUCCGCCGAGAUAUUCAUGACUAUCGGAUGGUGUAGAAACAGAAUCCACUAAAAUGUGAAUGCAGCAUGGAAGAUGAACAAAACCAUACAUUCCAAGAACUUUAGUAGUGCUAUUCAUGGAGAGAAACUCAAAUGGAAUUGGAAUGUGAUCAAAGUCGUUUAGUCAGCAACAAAAAUAACACUGUGAUCUAGAUUGCCAUAUCUGUGAUAAACCAGGUAUUGGUGCAUAGGUUGGUGUUCCAGAGGAAUGGUAGUGGCGACGAUCUUGCUGUUAAGGAUAACACUUGUGGCUGGAUUAGUUUUAUGUUCAAUAUGUAUUUACCUGGCUGCACAUUAAACUUCUUUUGCUACAAAAAUUAAAGUUAUAAAAUUCGCUUAAAACUGCGACUGUGGCACUCUCGCCGUGGGAGUAAAGCAUAGUGUGGAUGUGGUGCCCUCUAACAGCUAUCUAAGUCCAUUCCUCCGGUGGGCAUUCAAUACCUGUGGCACCUCAUACCAGAUGGAUACUUGGAAACUGUGUAAACUAUAAUGUAAUGUAGUGGUGUCGUAAUAUUUAUUUAUUUCCUUUAUAUUUCACAUGUGAUCUAUGUGAGACUGUAGAUCUUAAUAGAUUGUAAUGUCACAAGCUUUUAUCAAUAAAGAUAUAUUCAGGAAAAAAA